rnacentral:rRNA from 1 species
CCCGCACAAGCGGUGGAUUAUGUGGAUUAAUUCGAUGCAACGCGAAAAACCUUACCUGGCCUUGACAUGUACCGAAUUUACCAGAGAUGGUUUAGUGCUCGAAAGAGAACGGUAACACAGGUGCUGCAUGGCUGUCGUCAGCUCGUGUCGUGAGAUGUUGGGUUAAGUCCCGCAACGAGCGCAACCCUUGCCAAUAAUUGCCAUCAUUUAGUUGGGCACUUUAUUGGGACUGCCGGUGACAAACCGGAGGAAGGUGGGGAUGACGUCAAGUCCUCAUGGCCCUUAUGGCCAGGGCUUCACACGUAAUACAAUGGUCGGUACAGAGGGUCGCCAACCCGCGAGGGGGAGCUAAUCCCAGAAAGCCGAUCGUAGUCCGGAUUGCAGGCUGCAACUCGCCUGCAUGAAGUCGGAAUCGCUAGUAAUCGCGGAUCAGCAUGUCGCGGUGAAUACGUUCCCGGGCCUUGUACACACCGCCCGUCACACCAUGGGAGUGGGUUUUACCAGAAGUAGUUAGCCUAACCGCAAGGAGGGCGAUUACCACGGCGGGGUUCGUGACUGGGGUGAAGUCGUAACAGGUAACCGUA